AAUCCAUAGGUUAAUGAGGCGAACCGGGGGAACUGAAACAUCUAAGUACCCCGAGGAAAAGAAAUCAACCGAGAUUCCCCCAGUAGCGGCGAGCGAACGGGGAGGAGCCCAGAGCCUGAAUCAGCAUGUGUGUUAGUGGAAGCGUCUGGAAAGGCGCGCGAUACAGGGUGACAGCCCCGUACACAAAAGCGCAUGUGCUGUGAGCUCGAUGAGUAGGGCGGGACACGUGGUAUCCUGUCUGAAUAUGGGGGGACCAUCCUCCAAGGCUAAAUACUCCUGACUGACCGAUAGUGAACCAGUACCGUGAGGGAAAGGCGAAAAGAACCCCGGCGAGGGGAGUGAAAAAGAACCUGAAACCGUGUACGUACAAGCAGUGGGAGCCCCACCACUAAGCCAGUGGUGAACUCCACAUACGCAUCCUUUGCUGAGGAUGCGGUUAACGGAGCGAAAGCGACGUUCAACCGCAAAAGAAGCAGAGGGGGCUUAGUGGUGGGGUGACUGCGUACCUUUUGUAUAAUGGGUCAGCGACUUAUAUUCUGUAGCAAGGUUAACCG
rnacentral:rRNA from 1 species